GAAGAGUAGGGAGAAGGGGAAUUAUCUACCCAUUAGCAAUAAAUAAUGAAUAUUAAAAAUAAAAAAAUAAAAAAUUAACGUCUUUGUAACCUAUGAUUUUCUAGGAUUCUGGGCAUUUGUGACCGAGAACUUUUUUGGUACCUUUGUGUUCCACAGUAAUGUAAUGCUUUCUGUUUAUGUGCUCCCAUACUAUAAUUGUAUUAUAUGUAUUUUUAAAGAAUCUACCCAAUAG